UACGUAGGGGGCUAGCGUUAUCCGGAAUUACUGGGCGUAAAGGGUGCGUAGGUGGUUUCUUAAGUCAGAGGUGAAAGGCUACGGCUCAACCGUAGUAAGCCUUUGAAACUGGGAAACUUGAGUGCAGGAGAGGAGAGUGGAAUUCCUAGUGUAGCGGUGAAAUGCGUAGAUAUUAGGAGGAACACCAGUUGCGAAGGCGGCUCUCUGAACUGUAACUGACACUGAGGCACGAAAGCGUGGGGAGCAAACAGGAUUAGAUACUCGGGUAGUCCCUGAGCGGG
rnacentral:rRNA from 1 species